rnacentral:rRNA from 1 species
CAGUCGAGCGAGCUUGCCUAGAUGAUUUUAGUGCUUGCACUAAAUGAAACUAGAUACAAGCGAGCGGCGGACGGGUGAGUAACACGUGGGUAACCUGCCCAAGAGACUGGGAUAACACCUGGAAACAGAUGCUAAUACCGGAUAACAACACUAGACGCAUGUCUAGAGUUUGAAAGAUGGUUCUGCUAUCACUCUUGGAUGGACCUGCGGUGCAUUAGCUAGUUGGUAAGGUAACGGCUUACCAAGGCAAUGAUGCAUAGCCGAGUUGAGAGACUGAUCGGCCACAUUGGGACUGAGACACGGCCCAAACUCCUACGGGAGGCAGCAGUAGGGAAUCUUCCACAAUGGACGAAAGUCUGAUGGAGCAACGCCGCGUGAGUGAAGAAGGGUUUCGGCUCGUAAAGCUCUGUUGGUAGUGAAGAAAGAUAGAGGUAGUAACUGGCCUUUAUUUGACGGUAAUUACUUAGAAAGUCACGGCUAACUACGUGCCAGCAGCCGCGGUAAUACGUAGGUGGCAAGCGUUGUCCGGAUUUAUUGGGCGUAAAGCGAGUGCAGGCGGUUCAAUAAGUCUGAUGUGAAAGCCUUCGGCUCAACCGGAGAAUUGCAUCAGAAACUGUUGAACUUGAGUGCAGAAGAGGAGAGUGGAACUCCAUGUGUAGCGGUGGAAUGCGUAGAUAUAUGGAAGAACACCAGUGGCGAAGGCGGCUCUCUGGUCUGCAACUGACGCUGAGGCUCGAAAGCAUGGGUAGCGA